rnacentral:lncRNA from 1 species
GGGAGAGUUGCUUGACUUGUUGUCGUGAUGGUGGUCGCGGCUAUCGUAGCGCCGUUCUUCGCGGCGAUUAUUAUUGCGACUCGUGGUCAGAGCAAGUAGGCCAAACAACUUGGUCGAUAGCCUGAGCAGGUCGGUGUCGUCGAUCUGCCUCCCUUUGUAGCAAAGAAGCGGGUGACGCGUUGUCGGCGUGGUCGGAGACGUUGCUGGAGUAGUUGGAGUUGUAGCCGGCGUGGUUGAAGCCGCCGCCGACGUCGAUGAAGAAGUGGUUGGUGCAGAUCGGAUCUACACCUCCUCCGUGGUCGUGGCGGUGAAGCUGUUGAAGCUGACGGUGAACGUGAAGUCGCCCGCCAUGGCCACGAAGUCGGGGAUAAUGACCAUCUCGUUCGUCGGGAAAGUUGCACGCACACCCCCUACCUGGCGCGCCACUGUCGACGAAAGCUAGUCGGCAGUCUACCUUGGGGUAUACCCACGGUAGUAGUUUAUCGGUAGACGGUGCGCAAACUACGAACUCGAUGGUGACGCAAGACACGGACAAGCUUUUUAUCCAGGUUCGGCCGCCGAG